rnacentral:rRNA from 1 species
AACGAACGCUGGCGGCGUGGUUAAAACAUGCAAGUCGCACGAGAAAGGCGGGGCAACUCGCCGAGUAAAGUGGCGGAAGGGUGAGGAACAUAUGGGUAACGUACCUUGGAUACCGGGAUAGCCGCGGGAAACUGCGGGUAAUACCGGAUAAGACCACGAUCUCAUAAGAGAGCGCGGUCAAAGGACGGGGAUUCGCAAGAACCUGUUGAUCCAAGAGCGGCCCAUAUCCUAUCAGCUAGUUGGUGAGGUAACGGCCCACCAAGGCUGCGACGGGUACCGGGACUGAGAGGUUGACCCGGCACAUUGGCACUGAGACACUGGCCAGACUCCUACGGGAGGCUGCAGUAACGAAUCUUGGGCAAUGGGCGAAAGCCUGACCCAGCGACGCCGCGUGCGGGAAGAAGUCCUUCGGGAUGUGAACCGCUGUCAGGGGCUGCCAAGUGACCACAUCUAACACAUGUGGAAGUUGAGGAGCCCCAGAGGAAGCCACGGCUAACUUCGUGCCAGCAGCCGCGGUAAGACGAAGGUGGCAAGCGUUGUUCGGAAUCACUGGGCUUAAAGCGCACGUAGGCGGCUUGACAAGUGUCUUGUGAAAUCCCUCGGCUCAACCGAGGAAUUGCUGGGCAUACUGUCGAGCUUGAGGCAGGUAUGGGCGAGUGGAACUCUUGGUGGAGCGGUGGAAUGCGUAGAUAUCAAGAGGAACGCCGGUGGUGAAGACGAUUCGCUGGGCCUGUCCUGACGCUGAGGUGCGAAAGCCAGGGGAGCAAACGGGAUUAGAUACCCCGGUAGUCCUGGCCCUAAACGAUGUCUACUAGAUCGGAGUCACUCUGACGUGCCUCUGGUCGCAAUGAAAACGUUAAGUAGACCGCCUGGGGAGUACGGUCGCAAGGCUA